rnacentral:rRNA from 1 species
GGGUUGUGAGGUUAAGCGACUAAGCGUACACGGUGGAUGCCCUGGCAGUCAGAGGCGAUGAAGGACGUGCUAAUCUGCGAUAAGCGUCGGUAAGGUGAUAUGAACCGUUAUAACCGGCGAUUUCCGAAUGGGGAAACCCAGUGUGAUUCGUCACACUAUCAUUAACUGAAUCCAUAGGUUAAUGAGGCGAACCGGGGGAACUGAAACAUCUAAGUACCCCGAGGAAAAGAAAUCAACCGAGAUUCCCCCAGUAGCGGCGAGCGAACGGGGAGCAGCCCAGAGCCUGAAUCAGUGUGUGUGUUAGUGGAAGCGUCUGGAAAGGCGCGCGAUACAGGGUGACAGCCCCGUACACAAAAAUGCACAUACUGUGAGCUCGAUGAGUAGGGCGGGACACGUGGUAUCCUGUCUGAAUAUGGGGGGACCAUCCUCCAAGGCUAAAUACUCCUGACUGACCGAUAGUGAACCAGUACCGUGAGGGAAAGGCGAAAAGAACCCCGGCGAGGGGAGUGAAAAAGAACCUGAAACCGUGUACGUACAAGCAGUG